rnacentral:misc_RNA from 1 species
CAAACGGCUGUUAAUGAUUGUUAAAUCAUUGUCACUUAUGUUAAAAGAGAGCAAAGCCAUGGUGGGUGGGCAAUAGCUUGUCUAAGAGCUACGACUUCUUCCUUAGACAAUGAUAUGCUUGCCGAAGAGGUUCGAGUUCGUUGUUCUUGAUUCAUAAAUUAUGUAUGAGAUUUUCCAUUUCUUAACUUCAUCUGAGGAGGAACUUCUUCACUUUUUAUAUGAACUUAGAUGGGUAUUCUAGUUGAGAAAAAUGUCUUCUAUGUUUGGUUUCUAAAUUAUUUAUUUCACCUAUUCAAGUUUUGGCUCAUUUUCUCAGUUGAAAGA